UUCAGAAUUUACAUUUACAUGGGACACAGUCAAUUUUGGGGGGGGAGGGGCACAGUCAAUUUAAAAUUUUACUUUCUGGAUGGAUCAUUCACCAAAAAAGUUAAUCUAUCCCUUUCCAAGGUAGUAAAACAUUGGCAUUUUCAGUGCUUAUAUUACUCAGUCUGCUGAACUAUUAUUUGUGCAAAAGUGAAAGCAACUUCAUCCAUGAUAGUCAAGGAGCAAGAAUGAAUGAACGAACACCCCUCCCACUCAAGAAAGGAGGCCUUCAGCUUCCUUCCCACAGCAGGGAAGGGAAACGUCAGAACCAACAGAAAAGAAGAACACUACAGACACAGGAAGCUAGAAAUGAUACAAUGCUGAACCUGCUUCUUCAUUUCCAUCCAACUGCGAUAUAAUUACUCUUCGAGCCACAAGAAUGAACAUUAAGUAAGAAUGGUCAUUUCUCUCUCUGAGAAAGACUCAUCAUGGGCUAACAGCAAGACAGCACCAGACUCACCAUCUCUGCGAUUAAGACUUGCGAACCCCAGGCCGUGGCUCCUGGACAGCUGUGACGAGCAGCUGAAGGACUCUCGUGGCAAUGUGGACGCCAGCGAGGCAUCACAGCAAUCUGUGUGGAAAAUCCCAGAUUCAGAUUAACCCCCUGUUCCAGGCAUUACUGACUUCUUCCCUCCCUCCCUUCCUGCUUCCUUCUUCCUCUCCCUCCUCUCUUCCCUCCUUUCCUUGCUUUUAGUUAAGAGGCCAAGAAAAUGCUAAAACCUAUGGCAAACAUCAGUCUUGAUCAGAGGUGUGUUAGGAGGUGGUAAAGAAAAUAAAACCCCUGAUUGGUAGCA